rnacentral:rRNA from 1 species
GAUGAACGCUGGCGGCGUGCCUAAUACAUGCAAGUCGAGCGAACGGACGAGAAGCUUGCUUCUCUGAUGUUAGCGGCGGACGGGUGAGUAACACGUGGAUAACCUACCUAUAAGACUGGGAUAACUUCGGGAAACCGGAGCUAAUACCGGAUGAUAUUUUGAACCGCAUGGUUCAAAAGUGAAAGACGGUCUUGCUGUCACUUAUAGAUGGAUCCGCGCUGCAUUAGCUAGUUGGUAAGGUAACGGCUUACCAGGGCAACGAUGCAUAGCCGACCUGAGAGGGUGAUCGGCCACACUGGAACUGAGACACGGUCCAGACUCCUACGGGAGGCAGCAGUAGGGAAUCUUCCGCAAUGGGCGAAGGCCUGACGGAGCAACGCCGCGUGAGUGAUGAAGGUCUUCGGAUCGUAAAACUCUGUUAUUAGGGAAGAACAUAUGUGUAAGUAACUGUGCACAUCUUGACGGUACCUAAUCAGAAAGCCACGGCUAACUACGUG